UGAAACAUCUUAGUACCCGGAGGAAGAGAAAGAAAAUUCGAUUCCCUUAGUAGCGGCGAGCGAAACGGGAAGAGCCCAAACCAACAAGCUUGCUUGUUGGGGUUGUAGGACACUCUAUACGGAGUUACAAAGGACGACAUUAGACGAAUCAUCUGGAAAGAUGAAUCAAAGAAGGUAAUAAUCCUGUAGUCGAAAAUGUUGUCUCUCUUGAGUGGAUCCUGAGUACGACGGAGCACGUGAAAUUCCGUCGGAAUCUGGGAGGACCAUCUCCUAAGGCUAAAUACUCUCUAGUGACCGAUAGUGAACCAGUACCGUGAGGGAAAGGUGAAAAGCACCCCGGAAGGGGAGUGAAAUAGAACCUGAAACCGUGUGCUUACAAGUAGUCAGAGCCCGUUAAUGGGUGAUGGCGUGCCUUUUGUAGAAUGAACCGGCGAGUUACGAUUUGAUGCAAGGUUAAGCAGUAAAUGUGGAGCCGUAGCGAAAGCGAGUCUGAAUAGGGCGUUUAGUAUUUGGUCGUAGACCCGAAACCAGGUGAUCUACCCUUGGUCAGGUUGAAGUUCAGGUAACACUGAAUGGAGGACCGAACCGACUUACGUUGAAAAGUGAGCGGAUGAACUGAGGGUAGCGGAGAAAUUCCAAUCGAACCUGGAGAUAGCUGGUUCUCUCCGAAAUAGCUUUAGGGCUAGCCUCAAGUGAUGAUUAUUGGAGGUAGAGCACUGUUUGGACGAGGGGCCCCUCUCGGGUUACCGAAUUCAGACAAACUCCGAAUGCCAAUUAAUUUAACUUGGGAGUC
rnacentral:rRNA from 1 species